rfam:Acyrthosiphon pisum strain LSR1 Contig1027586, whole genome shotgun sequence.
UAAACGGCCCUUUUCAGGGCCACCACUCGUACAACCUCGACACUU